AGGGACUCUGACUCUGAGUACAGAUUAAAAGAAUGGGGGUAUACGACUCUUAGAAGACCAUGGAGGCAAUGAUGUAGUAAAGAAAAGAAGAAUUAAAGAAGAUUGAGACUUUGCGUGAAGAAACUUUGAAUCUUUGGUCGUAAAGCAGGAGUGAUUUCAAUGCUGACCAAAGAGACUGGUGGUUUCAACCGCUGCUCUUUUUAGUCCCUCGUUGUUUAGUUAUCACGUUUAUAUAUUAUACAUUAUGAUCAAGAAGCUCUCUUUCAGCAAUCGUUGUCAAGCUUAUUGUUACUUUCAACCCAGUUGAUGUACAUUUCCAUUCUCAAAACAAUCUUCUGAUUUUUUCUUACUUGUAUUAUUUCUUUUUGGUCACUUGAUUCACAAGUGAGAAGAAAGGUGUCACUUUGAUGCCCAUUGUUGGUUACGGUUUUUACUAGACGACCUGUCACUAUUUCCCCAAUGGAUUCAAAAAAUCAGUUGUUGACAGCACUGCGGAUCUUGAGUUACUCAUGAUGCACAACAGGAUUUACUGUUUGUGGCUCAACAAGGAAGAGGAAAGCGAUUCUCAACUAGAAAUUACGAACAGGCUUUGUUUGGUUAGUGGUUGUGAGAGAUGUUGUCUCGUGGUGGAAUACGAUGAUCACUGAUUGAGUGAAUUGUGGGUUUGUCGAGAUCAGAAAACUUCAAUGAAAUCUUGAGAGAAACUCUCUCAGGCCCGCAUCCCAAGGCGCCGUUCCGAUGGAUCUCCCCUGCCCCAGCCAAGCCGCUCUUUCCUCUUCCCUCUGAAGUAGCUCUGCUCCUCUCUUUAACCAUGAUGGUGACUACCCCGUCGUGUCUCCGCCCCCCUCCAGAUCCGCCGCGGCCGUCGAUUAUGUACGCUCCGCUUGAAGCUCUCUUUCCCGUCAUCCCUCCGGAAGCACCAGACCCCCAGACAUUCCUCUCCUCCUCGCUUCCACCAUCACGUCUCAGUUUUGAAAUUUUGUCUCCUCAUCUCCGAUCUGCCUCACCGGACGAUUUGAAGGCGCUGGUGAUCUCCGAGCCUCACCGUCUCAACCACGCGACGCUCCCCGCCGCGAAGCUGGCUGCCUCUACGCCGGCGGAAAACCUCACUCCUCUGAUUGAGCGUGCUUCCAUAGAUGGGCUGAAUGCCUCUUCUUCUUGGGCUUGGGUCUCAAAAACGUUUGAGUCCAACAUAAUCUAUUUGGCUUCUGAGAGCCCAAUAUCAAAGAUGAGCCACCAUUGCCCACUAAUUUAGGGAUUGCAGAUCUGAAGCUACGUCUUUCCAACAGCUCCCCUACGCCUCCGUCUACAUCUUCAUGGCUUGCAGCCUCACUGUCUCCUCUGCAGCACAUCAAAGUCGCCGAGCUCAGCUCCACAACCUAUGUACAUCAUGGUACUUGUUCUCUCAUGCUUAACUUGUUAAAGUUUGAUGAAGAGCGUCUCUGGUUGAAUUUAUUGGUUCCCUGGCCUCAACACGGUAAUGUUGGAGGAUGGAGUCCCUGUUUGAAUUCAACCACCGCCUACCCAUCAACUACCAUCGAGCUUAUGUAUCAAGUCAUAAAGGUCAAUGUCAGCCAUUCUUUAGAGCCGGUUUCAACCCACCUAUCAACAAAGCCAAGAACUGUCACGAUGAGUCUCGUUUAUAUGGAAAUAACAUCCGUUGUUCAUUCCAGCGAGUGCUCUAGAACCGGUGUUCAUGGCACAGUAUCAACCGCCUCACCAUCUGUCUCUUCGAACAAUAUGUUUUCCGGCACGGUUGAGAUUCACCUAGUCUCCCGGUUUAUCAUAGUUGGUAUAAGAGCUGAUCUUGUUUGUUUAAUGAACUGCAUUGCCAAAUCUAGCUUUCCAGGUGGGCUUAUCAUCAGUGUUGGUGUUCACCAACGAUCUUCAAACCCGCUCUUCAGAGUCCCCUUUCAUCGGUUGUUGUACCGACAUUAGUAUGUUCUUAGGAACAUCAGUUUCAGGGUUUCAAGUGAAGCAUGUCUACGGGUUUCUUCACCCCUUUAACACUUCUAUCGCUUGUUGUAGUACUUUCCGCUUUCAUUUAGCCGUCGAAUUCACUUCCGGUUGUAACCGUUUAAGUCGUUUGGACAUCUAAUUUAAUAUAAGAGUUUCGUG